UUAACAACCAGUUUUAUUCACAAAAAACCCCCUAUAGCCUCUGACGCAAGACUCCCCAGACUGCUUCUCUACGUCGUGCGCCGCCGCCGCCGCCAUCGUGUGCCUCCGAUAUCUGUCGACUCAAUCCCGACGUCCGCGGGCACCCACCAGAUGCAGUGGCAACUACAGAUGAGCGACUAGCAAGUAGCACAACAUCAGUCUCCAUCAGCAACACAAGGGCAUCAAAAGUUUCAGUAUGGAUCCAAUCAACAACCUUCAAAUGCAUAUGAGCCAUGGAGGAUUUAAUACACCCAAAAAGAAUACAGACAUGCCUCUCUUUUCUUCGUCUUUUACACCUGAAUGUGAUGAGCAUUUGAAGCCUAAAGUGGGUAUGACAUUUGAAGGAGUAGAGGCAGUGGAGAAGUUCUACAAGGCAUAUGCACAUGAAUCAGGUUUUGGUGUUCGUAUCGGACAGCAGAAAAAGAUUGAGAAUAAGGUGGUCCGGACAAAGCGUUUCAUGUGUAAUAGGGAAGGAUUCAAGUCGAAAGAUUGCAAGGAGAUAGUCGUAAUUGUCCGAGCAAAAAAGGAAAUGGGAGUGUGAUUCUGCAAGAUAUGCAGCUAAAUGGUGCUUCCUGAUACAGUCCAAGCAAAGAAUGAUUUUAUCUAUGUUAUCAUGUACACUUUGAUGUACUAAAUUCAUGUAAUGAACAAGAAUUUGCGUUGUGUUGAAUUAAACUUGACUUGAUUUCUGACAAGUUUGAUGCUUGUCAAAUUCCUAAAGAAUAAAGAACAUAUUCAGUCU